GGAGUGGCAAGCAUAAUGGUAAUGCAGCGGCUUGCUAAGCCGUUACACGGUAAUCCCGUGGCGCUGGUUCAAAUCCAGAGCACUCCG
rnacentral:tRNA from 1 species